GUUCCUUCUUACCAAUUAAAAAAAAAAUAUACAUGGGAAAUCAAAGUGUGAAAAGCACAGCUGAUUGGUAGGGUUGGCUUCUUCUGCAACACGAUACAAAAUGGGGUUGAAAAUGAAAGUGCACCAACAACAAAAAUGUGUCAAUGUGACACACACACGCACACCCACACAUGUAUAUGCAUGCUUGGCCUGAAAGGAAAUGUAAAGAUGUGCUGUGUUAAGGCUUUAAGCAACGCCUUGAGCAGUAGCAAGUAGUAGUCUCUUUGUCUCCACUUUUUCUUAUUUUUUUUUUCAGCUUCAAUCUGCAUGAGCCAAGCCACAUCAACUUCUGCAAAUGGGAUGGCUGAAAUCCCUUUUCUCUCCAUUGAAGAAGCUGUGGUUUCGCCUGCACUCAGCUGAGGAAAAGAGGAGAGGGAUCUACAUUCUAUACGAGGAUGUCAAAUCUUGCCCUGAUGAAGAUGUUCAAGUGUUAUGGUCAAUACUAGUGGAGUCACAUACACCUUCCUUGCAUCAAAACAAUGCAUGCCCCCAUGCAUACAGAGCUCACAGAUAAGAGAAAAACUGAAAGCUUUCUGGUCUUGUACAUAACAGAUUUAUGAUGUAUUAUUAUAACAGAGAGAGAGCACAGGUCUGCGAUACAGAAUUUGCAAGAAUCAUAACCCGAAAGCUAGGUGUUGAGAUUGGAAAAGCCAAAGUCACAUAAACCCCACACCACAUAUCAGAGUCCAAGUCUUGUAGCGAUGAUGAUUUUGAUACCAAAUUAUAUACAAAUCUUGAAAAACUGUCUAUACCACAAAAACUAACCCAAAAUUAGAUAAACCCUAUAUUAGAAACUCAUAUUUUUCGAUGUGAGAUUCAGGUCUCCUUCCUUAUACUUAAGAUAGUAAUGUUUUCUUUUAUUUAAGUUCUUCUUUGUAAUUUCUUUUCUAAAACUAGCUGAAGGGCAGUUCUUCUCUUUGAAUUGGCUUCUUCUUAUUGUUGCUUUGUCAGUUUUCAGCAGUUGGAGAUGGAAGUUUGUUUCUUCUU